GAGAAGCACAAGGACUGGACUUUGACAGGAAGCAACGAGGCAAGAGGGAAGCUCGAGAACAGGUUUUGCUGAGGAUUCCCCCCAAGAAAAGUGCUCCCCGGGAGGCCGUUCCUGGCACCAAGACUGGCGGAGCCACCACACCCGUUAAAGGGAUCCACCUGGACAGCGAUCAGGCAAGCACCUCCAAGGAUCACGUAGGACCAGCAGAAGCAGCGUAAAGUAUUGGAACUUUGAAUCUGACAUCAGAAAGACCUGCACUCAGCCGGGCACGGUGGCUCACGAUUGUAAUCCCAGGCCGAGGCGGUGGAUCACUUGAGAUUCACUGAUUCUAGGUAAAUCAGAGGAACAAGCAACAUGAACAGAAAAAAUGUAGAAAAUGCAAUUAUGCUGAAGUACAAUUGUUGUUUCAGAAGUCCAGCAUCUGGUGUACUUAACAAUAGAGAAUAUAUUAAAUUUUUCCAAAAUAAAAAAAACAAGUAGGAGA
rnacentral:lncRNA from 1 species